rnacentral:rRNA from 1 species
GAUGAACGCUGGCGGCGUGCCUAAUACAUGCAAGUCGAGCGAACGGACGAGAAGCUUGCUUCUCUGAUGUUAGCGGCGGACGGGUGAGUAACACGUGGAUAACCUACCUAUAAGACUGGGAUAACUUCGGGAAACCGGAGCUAAUACCGGAUAAUAUUUUGAACCGCAUGGUUCAAAAGUGAAAGACGGUCUUGCUGUCACUUAUAGAUGGAUCCGCGCUGCAUUAGCUAGUUGGUAAGGUAACGGCUUACCAAGGCAACGAUGCAUAGCCGACCUGAGAGGGUGAUCGGCCACACUGGAACUGAGACACGGUCCAGACUCCUACGGGAGGCAGCAGUAGGGAAUCUUCCGCAGUGGGCGAAAGCCUGACGGAGCAACGCCGCGUGAGUGAUGAAGGUCUUCGGAUCGUAAAACUCUGUUAUUAGGGAAGAACAUAUGUGUAAGUAACUGUGCACAUCUUGACGGUACCUAAUCAGGAAGCCACGGCUAACUACGUG